rnacentral:rRNA from 1 species
UAGGGAAUCUUCCGCAAUGGACGAAAGUCUGACGGAGCAACGCCGCGUGAGUGAAGAAGGAUUUCGGUUCGUAAAACUCUGUUGUUAGGGAAGAAAAAAUGUAUAGUAACUAUAUACAAAAGAGACGGUACCUAACCAGAAAGCCACGGCUAACUACGUGCCAGCAGCCGCGGUAAUACGUAGGUCCCGAGCGUUGUCCGGAUUUAUUGGGCGUAAAGCGAGCGCAGGCGGUUAGAAAAGUCUGAAGUGAAAGGCAGUGGCUCAACCAUUGUAGGCUUUGGAAACUGUUUAACUUGAGUGCAGAAGGGGAGAGUGGAAUUCCAUGUGUAGCGGUGAAAUGCGUAGAUAUAUGGAGGAACACCGGUGGCGAAAGCGGCUCUCUGGUCUGUAACUGACGCUGAGGCUCGAAAGCGUGGGGAGCGAACAGG